rnacentral:misc_RNA from 1 species
GUGAAUCAUCAAAUUUUUGAACGCAAAUUGCGCUUCCUGGUAUUCCGGGAAGUAUGCCUGUUUGAGGGUCGGUAUUAACAAAUAAUUGGCUUGGUUGCAAAUUGUGACGUUUAAGGCGUUUGGGUUUAUCUUAACUUUUUUGGUUAAGGGGCUUAAAAUUGACCUUUUUUGCGCAUUUUUAGACGUACAUAAAUUUUUUUUUAUUCGUCUAUUCUUAAUGUCAAAUUAUUAUUAGAUGCGUCCAUAUCGUGUGGCUUCGUGUCUAU